rnacentral:rRNA from 1 species
UACAGAGGGGGCAAGCGUUAUUCGGAAUUAUUGGGCGUAAAGGGCGCGUAGGCGGCUUGGCAAGUGGAUGGUGAAAUCCCUCGGCUUAACCGAGGAACUGCCGUCCAAACUGCUUUGCUUGAGACCGGGAGAGGUGAGUGGAAUUCCUGGUGUAGCGGUGAAAUGCGUAGAGAUCCGGAGGAACACCAGUGGCGAAGGCGACACGCUGGGCCGUACCUGACGCUAAAGCGCGACAGCAUGGGGAGCAAACGGG